UUAUGGUUGUUGAACAAAAAAUAUAUUCUAACUAGAGACAAUUUGUUGAAGAGAGGAUGGAGAGGUGAUAAGUAGUGUGUCCUAUGUGGGAAAGAGGAGACCAUUGAUCAUCUCUUCUUCUCCUGUUCGGUUGCUAGGCUCGUCUGGAACUUUGUUGGGUGUGCUUUUGAUCUAAAACAGGUUCCGGGCGACCUGAAUGAUUGCUUUGGGAAUUGGCUUAACAAAUUCCAAAAAAAUGAUAAAGAGCUGGUUUUGAUGGCACUUCUACCUUACUUUGGGCGAUUUGGAUUUGCCGAAAUGACAUUAUUUUUUAUAGGAAACAAAAUAAUGACCCAAUGGAGAUAA
rnacentral:rRNA from 1 species